rnacentral:lncRNA from 1 species
CUGCAUUCAGUGACAUCACAAGGGUAGCUUGAAGUGGCCAUAUUGGGAGUAUUUACAUCAUAGAAACCAGAAAUGCUUUAAAUGUAGGCUUUGGAUCCUUUGCCCCUUUCUCCUCCCUCUGCAUCCAGCCCUACCAUUGUUUGUUUUUGGAGAGUAGCUGCAGAGAGUCCAUAGUGUAAAGAUAGCGUGAGGCCAGUGUAGAACCUUGAGAAACUGGGUCUUAGUGUUAUGCUUUGAAUUAUUAAGAUCAAGCUUUAUGGGAAACCUGCCCUACUUCUCUGGAGUUUUCAGUUAUGAGCAGAAAAUGGAAGACAACCAUGGUAUUAGGAAUUAUUUCAAAUGCCUCCUGGCUGUGCAAUCUGAAAGAAAAAAUAAAGAUCAAAUUUUAUGAAUUUGUCUUCUAUAAGCUUACUCAGGUUGGAGGAUGGAUGCUUCAUACAUAAAAAAAAUGAAAGGAUUAAGAUGGUUCCAUUAUUUUUCAUAAUGAACAGUCAUACAAUUCCAGGCCAACAUGAAGUUUUUCAAAAGGUACUCAGGAAAUAUUAUUGGAGAUUAGAAUCUAGUAUGAAUUUAAGAGAGAGCUUCCUGGAAAUGAUGUCCAAGAUGAGAAGGCAAGUUGAAAAUUGGUUGUAAUUGUUCAGUAUAAGAAAGAAACAAAGGAAAUUUCAGGCAUGUCUGAAAGUAAACAUAUAAGCGAAGGAGGAACACCUGGGUGAUUCAGUGGGUUAGGGAUCUGUCUUUGGCUCAGGUCUGGAUCCUGGGAUGUGUCCUCUGUUGGGCUCCUUGUUCAGCGGGGAUCCUGUUUCUCCCUCUGCCUGCCAUUCCCUUGCUUGUGUUUGCUCUGUCUCUGACAAAUAAAUAAA